GGGCGGCACCUUGACGGUACCUAACCAGAAAGCCACGGCUAACUACGUGCCAGCAGCCGCGGUAAUACGUAGGUGGCAAGCGUUGUCCGGAAUUAUUGGGCGUAAAGGGCUCGCAGGCGGUUUCUUAAGUCUGAUGUGAAAGCCCCCGGCUCAACCGGGGAGGGUCAUUGGAAACUGGGGAACUGGAGUGCAGAAGAGGAGAGUGGAAUUCCACGUGUAGCGGUGAAAUGCGUAGAGAUGUGGAGGAACACCAGUGGCGAAGGCGACUCUCUGGUCUGUAACUGACGCUGAGGAGCGAAAGCGUGGGGAGCGAACAGGAUUAGAUACCCUGGUAGUCCACGCCGUAAACGAUGAGUGCUAAGUGUUAGGGGGUUUCCGCCCCUUAGUGCUGCAGCUAACGCAUUAAGCACUCCGCCUGGGGAGUACGGUCGCAAGACUGAAACUCAAAGGAAUUGACGGGGGCCCGCACAAGCGGUGGAGCAUGUGGUUUAAUUCGAAGCAACGCGAAGAACCUUACCAGGUCUUGACAUCCUCUGACAAUCCUAGAGAUAGGACGUCCCCUUCGGGGGCAGAGUGACAGGUGGUGCAUGGUUGUCGUCAGCUCGUGUCGUGAGAUGUUGGGUUAAGUCCCGCAACGAG
rnacentral:rRNA from 1 species